UACGUAGGGGGGCAAGCGUUUGUCCGGAUUUAUUGGGCGUAAAGAGCGUGUAGGCGGCCUGAAAGGUCAGCUGUGAAAACUCGAGGCUCAACCUCGAGACGUCGGUUGAAACCAUCUGGCUAGAGUCCGGGAAGAGGAGAGUGGAAUUCCCGGUGUAGCGGUGAAAUGCGCAGAUAUCGGGAGGAACACCAGUGGCGAAGGCGGCUCACUGGACCGGAACUGACGCUGAGGCGCGAAAGCGUGGGGAGCAAACAGG
rnacentral:rRNA from 1 species